rnacentral:rRNA from 1 species
AGCGAACGCUGGCGGUAGGCCUAACACAUGCAAGUCGAACGGCAGCACAGUAAGAGCUUGCUCUUACGGGUGGCGAGUGGCGGACGGGUGAGGAAUACAUCGGAAUCUACUCUUUCGUGGGGGAUAACGUAGGGAAACUUACGCUAAUACCGCAUACGACCUACGGGUGAAAGCAGGGGAUCUUCGGACCUUGCGCGAUUGAAUGAGCCGAUGUCGGAUUAGCUAGUUGGCGGGGUAAAGGCCCACCAAGGCGACGAUCCGUAGCUGGUCUGAGAGGAUGAUCAGCCACACUGGAACUGAACCACGGUCCAGACUCCUACGGGAGGCAGCAGUGGGGAAUGUUGGACAAUGGGCGCGAGCCUGGUCCAGCCAUACCGCGUGGGUGAAGGAGGCCUUCGGGUUGUAAAGCCCUUUUGUUGGGAAAGAAAAGCAGCAGGUUAAUACCCCGCUGUUCUGACGGUACCCAAAGAAUAAGCACCGGCUAACUUCGUG